rnacentral:rRNA from 1 species
GACAGAGGGUGCAACCGUUGUUCGGAAUUACUGGGCGUAAAGCGCGUGUAGGCGGUUCUGUAGGUCGGAUGUGAAAGCCCAUGGCUCAACCAUGGAAGUGCAUUCGAAACCCCAGAACUUGAGUGUCGGAGAGGAAGGCGGAAUUGUCGGUGUAGAGGUGAAAUUCGUAGAUAUCGACAGGAACACCUGCGGCGAAAGCGGCCUUCUGGACGAACACUGACGCUGAGACGCGAAAGCGUGGGGAGCAAACAGG